GAUUAACGCGAAGAACCUUACCUACCCUUGACAUACAGCGAAGACUGCAGAGAUGCGGUUGUGCCUUCGGGAACGCUGCUACAGGUGCUGCAUGGCUGUCGUCAGCUCGUGUCGUGAGAUGUUGGGUUAAGUCCCGUAACGAGCGCAACCCUUGUCCUUAGUUGCCAACGCGUAGAGGCGGGAACUCUAAGGAGACUGCCGGUGACAAACCGGAGGAAGGCGGGGACGACGUCAAGUCAUCAUGGCCCUUACGGGUAGGGCUACACACGUGCUACAAUGGUUAGUACAGAGGGAGGCGAAGCGGUGACGUGGAGCAAACCCUAAAAAGCUAAUCGUAGUCCGGAUUGGAGUCUGCAACUCGACUCCAUGAAGCUGGAAUCGCUAGUAAUCGCGGAUCAGCACGCCGCGGUGAAUACGUUCCCGGGCCUUGUACACACCGAAUC
rnacentral:rRNA from 1 species